UGGGGAGUAGUGUAACGGUAGCACGACUGACUCUGGAUCAGUUAGUUGGGGUUCAAAUCCCUGCUCCCCAG
rnacentral:tRNA from 1 species